UGAACUGGGUGACUAGAGUGUNUCAGAGGGAGGUAGAAUUCCACGUGUAGCAGUGAAAUGCGUAGAGAUGUGGAGGAAUACCGAUGGCGAAGGCAGCNUCCUGGGAUAACACUGACGUUCAUGCCCGAAAGCGUGGGUAGCAAACAGGAUUAGAUACCCUGAUAGUCCACGCCCUAAACGAUGUCGAUUAGCUGUUGGGCAGCAUGACUGCUUAGUAGCGAAGCUAACGCGUGAAAUCGACCGCCUGGGGAGUACGGUCGCAAGAUUAAAACUCAAAGGAAUUGACGGGGACCCGCACAAGCGGUGGAUGAUGUGGAUUAAUUCGAUGCAACGCGAAGAACCUUACCUGGUCUUGACAUGUGCGGAACCCUCCAGAGACGGAGGGGUGCCUUCGGGAGCCGUAACACAGGUGCUGCAUGGCUGUCGUCAGCUCGUGUCGUGAGAUGUUGGGUUAAGUCCCGCAACGAGCGCAACCCUUGUCAUUAGUUGCCAUCAUUAAGUUGGGCACUCUAAUGAGACUGCCGGUGACAAGCCGGAGGAAGGUGGGGAUGACGUCAAGUCCUCAUGGCCCUUAUGACCAGGGCUUCACACGUCAUACAAUGGUCGGUACAGAGGGUAGCCAAGCCGCGAGGUGGAGCCAAUCUCACAAAACCGAUCGUAGUCCGGAUUGCACUCUGCAACUCGAGUGCAUGAAGUCGGAAUCGCUAGUAAUCGCAGGUCAGCAUACUGCGGUGAAUACGUUCCCGGGUCUUGUACACACCGCCCGUCACACCAUGGGAGUGGGGGAUACCAGA
rnacentral:rRNA from 1 species